rnacentral:misc_RNA from 1 species
GAACGCAUAUUGCGCUCUCUGGUAUUCCGGAGAGCAUGCUUGUUUGAGUAUCAGUAAACACCUCAACUCCCCUUUCUUUUUUUGAAAUGGGAGCUGGACUUGAGUGAUCCCAACGCUUUUCUCACCGAAAAGUGGCGGGUUACUUGAAAUGCAGGGGCAGCUGGACUUUUCUCUGAGCUAAAAGCAUAUCUAUUUAGUCCUCGUCAAACAGGAUUAUUACUUUUGCUGCAGCUAACAUAAAGGAUAAUUGUCCUCUUUGCUGACUGAUGCAGGAUUUUACGACACUUUAUGUGUUGUUCAACUCGAUCUCAAAUCAAGUAAGACUACCCGCUGAACUUAAG